rnacentral:rRNA from 1 species
CGCAAUGGGCGAAAGCCUGACGGAGCGACGCCGUGUGGGUGAUGAAGGCCUUCGGGUCUUAAAGCCCUGUCAGCGAGAAAGAUAUUGACGGUACUCGCAGAGGAAGCCCCGGCUAACUACGUGCCAGCAGCCGCGGUAAUACGUAGGGGGCGAACGUUGUCCGGAAUCAUUGGGCGUAAAGCGCAUGUAGGCGGUCUUAUAAGUCAGGUGUCAAAUCCCCGGGCUCAACCCGGGUACGCACUUGAUACUGUACGGACUCGAGAAAUAUAGAGGAAAGCGGAACUACCGGUGUAGCGGUGAAAUGCGUAGAUAUCGGUAGGAACACCAGUGGCGAAGGCGGCUUUCUGGAUAUUUUCUGACGCUGAGAUGCGAAAGCUA